rnacentral:rRNA from 1 species
AUUCCUACGGGAGGCAGCAGUGGGGAAUCUUCCGCAAUGGGCGAAAGCCUGACGGAGCAACGCCGCGUGAGUGAAGAAGGCCUUCGGGUCGUAAAACUCUGUCUUCAGGGAAGAAAAAAAUGACGGUACCUGAGGAGGAAGCCCCGGCUAACUACGUGCCAGCAGCCGCGGUAAAACGUAGGGGGCGAGCGUUGUCCGGAAUUACUGGGCGUAAAGGGCGCGUAGGCGGUCAUUUAAGUCAGAGGUGAAAACUACCGGCUCAACCGGUAGCCUGCCUUUGAAACUGGAUGACUUGAGGGCAGGAGAGGGGAGUGGAAUUCCCAGUGUAGCGGUGAAAUGCGUAGAUAUUGGGAGGAACACCAGUGGCGAAGGCGGCUCUCUGGCCUGUUUCUGACGCUGAGGCGCGAAAGCGUGGGGAGCGAACGGGAUUAGAUACCCCGGUAGUCCACGCCGUAAACGAUGGGUGCUAGGUGUAGGAGGUAUCGACCCCUUCUGUGCCGUAGCUAACGCAAUAAGCACCCCGCCUGGGGAGUACGGCCGCAAGGUUGAAACUCAAAUGAAUUGACGGAAU